UUUAGAUUAAAGAAGCCACUCACUGGCUCCUGUGGGAAUAAGCUUUGCACCGCUGCAUCUCUGAAGGACUUCAAACAUACAGUACAAGACAAACAUCCUGAGCCAGCAAUGACUAUUUACAGUGCCUGUCUAAACUACAUGUAAAUUCCCCUUGAUAAUAAUAAACUCAAGUUUUAUGUUGUGCUUUUCA